rnacentral:rRNA from 1 species
AUUGAACGCUGGCGGCAUGCCUUACACAUGCAAGUCGAACGGCAGCACGGGGCAACCUGGUGGCGAGUGGCGAACGGGUGAGUAAUGCAUCGGAACGUGCCAUUGAGUGGGGGAUAACGUAGCGAAAGUUGCGCUAAUACCGCAUAUUCUGUGAGCAGGAAAGCAGGGGACCGCAAGGCCUUGCGCUCUUUGAGCGGCCGAUGUCAGAUUAGCUAGUUGGUGAGGUAACGGCUUACCAAGGCGACGAUCUGUAGCGGGUCUGAGAGGAUGAUCCGCCACACUGGAACUGAGACACGGUCCAGACUCCUACGGGAGGCAGCAGUGGGGAAUUGUUCGCAAUGGGCGCAAGCCUGACGACGCAACGCCGCGUGGAGGAUGAAGAUCUUCGGGUCGUAAACUCCUUUCGAUCGAGACGAAUGGCCCUUGGGCUAAUACCCUGAGGGAGUGACGGUACUGAGAGAAGAAGCCCCGGCUAAACUCCGUGCCAGCA